UAUGAGCAACACACUUUGUUGUAAAUUAUUGACAAGUCAAAAAAUAUAUAAAUAGGAAAUAUUGACAUAUAACAACAUUUUCACUGAUGUUUAGGAACUCAGCCUUCAAACCUCCACUGUGUCACAAUGAACACCACAGCUGAUGAGUUAGUUAAUGUACUAAAUGUUGUAGUUACUGAGCUGAGUAACUGUUCUAGAGCAGCUUGUAAUGUGUCAGAUUGAAUCUAUUUUUAUUUCUCCAAUUCACUUUUUCAGGUCUGAAAACUUCAACUCCUGCUCCACUAGAAACUACUCAGGCUUCACACCCCCUCAAUUUCCCAUGGAACAUCACUGCUGGAACAUGGCUUAUCAUGUGUGGCAGCUUCAUGUUGACCGGAUUCAUAGGUGUUUGUCUGUGCUGUUUCAGCACAGAGGAUCUGGAGAGUUAAAUGACUGAAUUUUCUGAAGUGCACUUUGUGGAAGUCAGAAUCAAGGAUAGCUGAAAUAAUCAACGUCUGGGACAAAGUGUAUUCUGUUUGCAGCAUCAUCCCUGACGUAUCUGCUGAGAGCCAUGAUACAAACCAAUGAUAAUUUCACCUGUUUUCAAUUUCUUUUUUGUAGAAAUAUUUUCACAUUAAAUUAAUUGUUGCAUGUAAAUUACUUUAAGAGACAACCACAAAGAAGAAUAUAUUUGUGGAUCUGAGAUCCAAGGCACAUGGGCAAAACCAAGGCACAUGGGCAAAAGUUGGCCCGUGAUGACCUUUGAUUUGGCCAUUGAUGCAACACUUAACUGGAUUAGUUAAGCAGAUUGCAGAGUAAUGUUUUUUAUUAUGUUUAUCAUUACUUAUAUUAUGAAGGAGGGGGACCAGGGCAACUUUUAUAUUUUAACAGUUUGAUAUAAUGCAAUGAUUACAACAAUAGAUAAUUAAUGGCAAAAUUGCAAACUUUGUUAUAACAUUUAGCACAGGUUUUUUUUUCUUUUCCUUUUGUGAAA